AACGUUAUUGACAUACAAACGUAUGUCUCCCCGUGCCAAUAGGAAGCUGAAAAUGUCGACCGAGACCAAAAAAGAGAAACCAAGUAGCCAGCUUAAUUUAUAAUCAUUAGCUGGGCUUGGAUUUAGGGCUUGUAGCUCAGCUGGUAGAGCGCCGCCUUUGCAAGGCGGAGGCCCUGGGUCCGAAUCCCAGCAAGUCCAUUUGAACCAAUGCACACAUUGAGGCCGACUCGAUGUGGAAGGGUGGAGGUCCGAUCUGUGCAGCAGGUCGGUCCAAAGACACCAUGCAUAAGCUUUGCGACCAGACGCUCACUGAGUUUAGUGGGGCAUA
rnacentral:tRNA from 1 species